GUGAGGAAUAUUGGUCAAUGGGCGUGAGCCUGAACCAGCCAAGUCGCGUGAGGGAAGACUGCCCUAUGGGUUGUAAACCUCUUUUGUCGGGGAGCAAAGCUGCCACGUGUGGUGGUUUGAGAGUACCCGAAGAAAAAGCAUCGGCUAACUCCGUGCCAGCAGCCGCGGUAAUACGGAGGAUGCGAGCGUUAUCCGGAUUUAUUGGGUUUAAAGGGUGCGUAGGCGGGACAGUAAGUCAGCGGUAAAAUAGCGGGGCUCAACCCCGUCGAGCCGUUGAAACUGCAGUUCUUGAGUGGGCGAGAAGUAUGCGGAAUGCGUGGUGUAGCGGUGAAAUGCAUAGAUAUCACGCAGAACCCCGAUUGCGAAGGCAGCAUACCGGUGCUCAACUGACGCUGAUGCACGAAAGCGUGGGGAUCAAACAGG
rnacentral:rRNA from 1 species